rnacentral:rRNA from 1 species
GACGAACGCUGGCGGCGUGCUUAACACAUGCAAGUCGAACGGUAAGGCCCUGUUUUUGUGGCGUGCUCGAGUGGCGAACGGGUGAGUAACACGUGAGUAACCUGCCCCUGUCUGUGGGAUAACUUCAGGAGACUGGGGUUCAUACCGGAUAGGAGCUCCUGCUGCAUGGGGGUGGUUGGAAAGUUUCGGCGGUGUGGGACGGACUGGCGGCUUAUCGGUUUGUUGGGGGGGUGGUGGCUUACCAGGGCGUGGACGGGUAGCCGGCCUGGGAGGGUGACCGGCCCCAUUGGGAUUGGGGUCGGGCCCGGACUCCACCGGGGGGAAGCGGUGGGAAUUUUUGCCCACUGGGCCGAGGCCGGGUCGAGCACCGCCGCGUGGGGAAUAACGGCUUUCGGUUUGUAACCCGCUUUAGCCUGGAACGAAGCGUGAGUGACGGUAACGGCUAAAGAAGCACCGGCUAACUACGUG